rnacentral:lncRNA from 1 species
AUGGGGGACUUCAGUUACCCAGACAUCUGCUGGGUAAGCAUCUCAGCCAGGCAUGAGCAGUCCAAACGGUUCCUACAAUGCAUUGAGGACAAUUUUCUGAUGCAGGUGGUGGAGGAGCCGACGAGGUGGGGGGUGCUCCUGGAUCUCGUUCUUACCAACAGGGAUGGCCUUGUCGGGGAUGUGAAGGUUGGGGGCAGCUUGGGAUGCAGCGACCAUGAGAUGGUGGAGUUCCAGAUGGAACUAGGCAAAGGAAGUAAGGCUAAAAGUAGGAUUGCUACCCUGGACUUUCGAAAAGCCAACUUUGACCUCUUCCAGGACCUGCUUGGGAGUAUCUCAUGGGAUAGGUUGCUAGAAGGCAAGGGUGCUUGUGAGAGCUGGGCUACAUUUAAGCAGCACUUCUUCCAUGCUCAGGGUCAGUGCAUCCCGAAGAAUAGGAAAUCGGGGAAGGGGGGCAGGAAACCCGCGUGGAUGAGCAAGGAGCUCAUCAAUAAGAUCAAAAGGAAAAGGAAGGUCUACGAAAUGUGGAAAAAGGGCCUGUCCUCUUGGGAGAAGUAUAGAUGUAUUGUCAGGGCCUGCAGGGACGUGACGAGGAAGGCUAAAGCCCACCUAGAGAUGAGGAUUGCAAAAGAGAUAAAGGAUAAUAAGAAGGGUUUUUUCAAGUAUGUAAACAGCAAGAGGAAGACUAGGGAUAAUGUGGGUACCUUGCUGAAUGAGGGGGGUGUCCUGUUCACGGGAGACGCUGAGAAGGCAGAGAUACUGAAUGCUUUCUUUGCUUCAAGGACACUCCCCUGGGACUCCUCGCCCCUGGCAAUAAGACAAAGGGUCUGGGAAAUGGAGGGCUCCCCACUGGUGGACGUGAGAGUGGUUCGGGAGCAUCUGCGUGGGCUCAAUGUACACAAAUCCAUGGGUCCCAAUGGGAUGCAUCUGCAUGUGCUAAGGGAACUGGCAGAUGUGAUCGCCGAACUGCUUUCUAUCAUCUUUGAAAGGUCCUGGAGAACGGGUGAGGUGCCUGAAGACUGGAGGAUAGCCAGUGUCACUCUGGUCUUCAAGAAGGGCAGGAAGGAGGAUCUGGGAAACUACAGGCCAGUCAGUCUCACCUCUGUCCCUAGAAAAGUAUUGGAGCAGCUUGUUCUGGAUGCCAUCUCCAAGCAAUUGGAAGAGAAGGUUAUGAGGAGUAGUCAGCAUGGAUUCACCAAGGGGAAGUCGUGCUCGACCAACCUCAUUGCCUUCUAUGAUGGCAUCACCAGCUGGGUAGAUGGGGGGAGAGCGGUGGAUGUCAUCUACCUUGACUUUAGCAAGGCUUUCGAUACUGUCUCCCAUGACAUCCUACUAGCAAAGCUGAGAAAGUGUGGGAUAGAGGAGUGGAUGGCAAGGUGGACUGAGAACUGUCUGACUGGCUGA